UACGUAGGGUGCGAGCGUUGUCCGGAAUUACUGGGCGUAAAGAGCUCGUAGGUGGUUUGUCGCGUUGUUCGUGAAAACUCACAGCUUAACUGUGGGCGUGCGGGCGAUACGGGCAGACUGGAGUACUGCAGGGGAGACUGGAAUUCCUGGUGUAGCGGUGGAAUGCGCAGAUAUCAGGAGGAACACCGGUGGCGAAGGCGGUUCUCUGGGCCUGUACUGACGCUGAGGAGCGAAAGCGUGGGGAGUGAACAGG
rnacentral:rRNA from 1 species